GACGAACGCUGGCGGCGUGCUUAACACAUGCAAGUCGAACGGAAAGGCCCUGCUUUUGUGGGGUGCUCGAGUGGCGAACGGGUGAGUAACACGUGAGUAACCUGCCCUUGACUUUGGGAUAACUUCAGGAAACUGGGGCUAAUACCGGAUAGGAGCUCCUGCUGCAUGGUGGGGGUUGGAAAGUUUCGGCGGUUGGGGAUGGACUCGCGGCUUAUCAGCUUGUUGGUGGGGUAGUGGCUUACCAAGGCUUUGACGGGUAGCCGGCCUGAGAGGGUGACCGGCCACAGUGGGACUGAGAUACGGCCCAGACUCCUACGGGAGGCAGCAGUGGGGAAUAUUGCAAGAUGGGCGGAAGCCUGAUGCAGCAACGCCGCGUGCGGGAUGACGGCCUUCGGGGUGUAAACCGCUUUCGCCUGUGACGAAGCGUGAGUGACGGUAAUGGGUAAAGAAGCACCGGCUAACUACGUG
rnacentral:rRNA from 1 species